UACGUAGGGUGCGAGCGUUGUCCGGAAUUAUUGGGCGUAAAGAGCUCGUAGGCGGUGUGUCACGUCGGCCGUGAAAACCUGCAGCUUAACUGUGGGCGUGCGGUCGAUACGGGCAUCACUGGAGUUCGGCAGGGGAGACUGGAAUUCCUGGUGUAGCGGUGAAAUGCGCAGAUAUCAGGAGGAACACCGGUGGCGAAGGCGGGUCUCUGGGCAGUAACUGACGCUGAUGAGCGAAAGCGUGGGGAGCGAACAGG
rnacentral:rRNA from 1 species